GGAGAGAUGGCCGAGCGGUUUAAGGCAGCAGUCUUGAAAACUGCCGUGGGUUCAUGCCCACCGUGGGUUCGAAUCCCACUCUCUCCGCCA
rnacentral:tRNA from 1 species